UGAGAGAGCAUAACCAGUCAGUUGCAGUCUAGCAUUUGCCAGAGAUACAGGAAUGACAUGCCUGGUGGCAGUAACCUUGGGCAUGGGUUAUGGUACAUCAUCAUCACAGAAGAAUGGAAAUCAGUCAUCACUGUCAAUUGUGUCUUGAAUAUCUGUUAUUUGCUCAUCUUUAAUGAACAUAUCAAGCCAUCUCAGAAUAAACAAAAUGAUAAAAGCAAAAUUAAAUCCUAGGUAUUAUACACUGAUCCUAGGGCAACAAGAUAUUCUGACUAUAACUUGUUGACGAAAUUGCACUGUGUAUUCAAGAGAAACACUCACCCUGUACCUGUAAUAGCACAGUUCUGAAGGUGCACUGUUAUGCAAACCAGUAUGUUACAAAAUACUCGUACAAAUGAUAGAAGGUGCCUUCCUUUUAUAAAAUUCCAUAUAAAUUUAAUGUUGGUAAUACUCUAGAACUAUCAGUGGAGUGUGUAUUCUUUGAACUGAAACCACACACUAUUCUCUGAUGUGAACGUUUCUAACAUUUCAAAGAAUGCAAAUGAAAUACGAGAGUGUAAGAAGUAAGACUAAUGGCAUUUCUAGGAUAAAUAGCAGUGGCCAGCCAUUCAGACACCCAGGACUGGAAAUAUUAAUCAAAACCUUCACCUCAGCUGAUACUUAGAUCUGUAGAUUGUGAUGCAUGUCCACAAAAUAUGAUUGGUGUUUCAAAUUUUGUAUUUUUGUAGCCAUGAUGUGUAACUGAAUGCAAAAAAAAAAAGACAUAAAAUUUGUGUUAAUGAAGGUCCACAUGUAUCACCUUUCUGUUACAUGGCAGACAUUGAAAUGGUGUUCUGUCUUGACCCACACACUCUUCUAUCUUACUUUGAGGCUACCAUAAUGUGUAGGAAUUGGACGCUUUUAAAAAGAAGAUAACAGACCUUUUUUGGUAGCUUUGUUUGAACUGCUUGAAAUGAACACUUCUUGAUUUUCUUUCUUGUGGGUACACAUGACUCCAGUUCAUGGAGCCAUAGCGCAUAUUCACAACGUUUAUAUAUUAAAACAGGAUUGUAGCAGCUAUUGGAAAUGUAACACCAGAAAUUAUUAAACAUUUGGGUCAAGAAAAAGGUUACCACAGUAUGUGCUCAUUACAAGAGAUACACACGUGGAAUGUCACUAAUAUAAAGUCUAAAGGUGUAUUGUAUUCAUUUUUACUUCAUUUAUUUGAUUGUCCUAGUUAUGAAAAUACAACAGUCUGGUAGAAGUUCACAAACAUUUCAAAGAAACAUGUUCUUUCAUCUUUAGGGUUGAAGAGUAAGGCAUUCAAGCAACCUGCAAGUAGAUCAGGGUAGAGAUGUUUGAAUACUUUAAAGCAAUAUUACAUACUUAUUUUUCCAGUGAUAUUCAUCUCAUCAAAUUACAUUAAGGCAAUAAUAAUCUCAAAAAGAAUGUUCACUGAUAAUGGUGUUAAGUGACCAUUACUGGUCCCCCACCCCAGGCAGAUUAAAUGCAGGGUUAAUCAGAAAUGGUUAUCCCCCCCCCAGAAAUUCCAAAUAUAUGUUUGCCGAAUUUUAGAGCUCAGUCUGAACUGAAUUGCAAAUUACAGGAAUCAUGUCAGCUUAUUUGAAGGGCAGGAGAACGCUGCUGAUUUUCAGCAUUGAUACAUGAUUGCUGUUUAUUGUGCAUUGAGUGUUAUGUUUCAUAGCAUUUUGUUUCAGUUUAAAUUUGUAACUUAGGAAACAACGUUGGUUGUUACAUUUCAACCAAUUUUCCUUUCUCGAUAAUGACAUUUAUGAUAUUGUGAUGUUUAUGUGUGUAUGUGAAAUGUAAAAUAUUGCUUCUGUGAAAAAGAUACAGUCUUUGGGAAGAAAAUUGGAUGUUGGCCACAGGAAAUAUUAAUGGAAUAUUACUAUAAACU